rnacentral:rRNA from 1 species
AUUGAACGCUGGCGGCAUGCCUUACACAUGCAAGUCGAACGGCAGCAUGGAGAGCUUGCUCUCUGAUGGCGAGUGGCGAACGGGUGAGUAAUGCAUCGGAACGUACCGUGUAAUGGGGGAUAACGUAGCGAAAGUUACGCUAAUACCGCAUACGACCUGAGGGUGAAAGCAGGGGAUCGCAAGACCUUGCGUUAUACGAGCGGCCGAUGUCAGAUUAGCUAGUUGGUGAGGUAAAGGCUCACAAAGGCGACGAUCUGUAGCGGGUCUGAGAGGAUGAUCCGCCACACUGGGACUGAGACACGGCCCAGACUCCUACGGGAGGCAGCAGUGGGGAAUUUUGGACAAUGGGGGCAACCCUGAUCCAGCCAUGCCGCGUGAGUGAAGAAGGCCUUCGGGUUGUAAAGCUCUUUCGGCCGGGAAGAAAUCGCACAGGCUAAUACUCUGUGUGGAAGACGGUACCGGCAUAAGAAGCACCGGCUAACUACGUGCCAGCCGCCGCGGUAA